ACUUUAUGAUUUGGGCAUUGCAUGAUUUUAUCCUUGAAACCUUUGCCAUACUUCAUAUAAAGGCUCGCCCCUAUAUUGACAAAAAUUUGUGAUUUCAUCCCUUAAUUU
rfam:Capsicum annuum cultivar Zunla-1 chromosome 12, whole genome shotgun sequence